GACGAACGCUGGCGGCGUGCUUAACACAUGCAAGUCGAGCGGUAAGGCCCUUUCGGGGGUACACGAGCGGCGAACGGGUGAGUAACACGUGGGUGACCUGCCCUCAGCUCUGGGAUAAGCCUGGGAAACUGGGUCUAAUACUGGAUAUGACUCCACGGUGCAUGUCGUGGGGUGGAAAGCCUUGUGCGGCUGAGGAUGGGCCCGCGGCCUAUCAGCUUGUUGGUGGGGUGAGGCCUACCAAGGCGACGACGGGUAGCCGGCCUGAGAGGGCGACCGGCCACACUGGGACUGAGACACGGCCCAGACUCCUACGGGAGGCAGCAGUGGGGAAUCUUGCGCAAUGGGCGAAAGCCUGACGCAGCGACGCCGCGUGAGGGAUGACGGCC
rnacentral:rRNA from 1 species